AUUGAACGCUGGCGGCAGGCCUAACACAUGCAAGUCGAGCGGAUGAAGGGAGCUUGCUCCUGGAUUCAGCGGCGGACGGGUGAGUAAUGCCUAGGAAUCUGCCUGGUAGUGGGGGAUAACGUCCGGAAACGGGCGCUAAUACCGCAUACGUCCUGAGGGAGAAAGUGGGGGAUCUUCGGACCUCACGCUAUCAGAUGAGCCUAGGUCGGAUUAGCUAGUUGGUGGGGUAAAGGCUUACCAAGGCGACGAUCCGUAACUGGUCUGAGAGGAUGAUCAGUCACACUAGAACUGAGACACGGUCCAGACUCCUACGGGAGGCAGCAGUGGGGAAUAUUGGACAAUGGGCGAAAGCCUGAUCCAGCCAUGCCGCGUGUGUGAAGAAGGUCUUCGGAUUGUAAAGCACUUUAAGUUGGGAGGAAGGGCAGUAAGUUAAUACCUUGCUGUUUUGACGUUACCAACAGAAUAAGCACCGGCUAACUUCGUG
rnacentral:rRNA from 1 species